rnacentral:tRNA from 1 species
GGGGUUGUAGCUCAGUGGUAGAGCACUUGCCUAGCAUGUAUGAGACCCUGGGUUCAAUCCUCAGCACCACA